CUGCAUGCACUGAUAGCCCUUGAACAGGUGUGGUUGUUCUUCUGGUCUGUACCAGGAUGUAAAAGAAAAGCUCCCUGAGCGCCCCGCCUGCCUCUGUGGCGCCCAGACUGAACUGGGGUGUGCAUCU